rnacentral:rRNA from 1 species
GAUGAACGCUAGCGGCAGGCCUAAUACAUGCAAGUCGAACGAUACCAGAGAGCUUGCUUUCUGGGAAAGUGGCGCACGGGUGCGUAACGCGUAUGCAACCUACCUUAAUCAGGGGGAUAGCCUCUCGAAAGAGAGAUUAACACCGCAUAACAUCAUUUUACGGCAUCGUAGAAUGAUCAAAUAUUUAUAGGAUUAAGAUGGGCAUGCGUGACAUUAGCUAGUUGGUGAGGUAACGGCUCACCAAGGCUACGAUGUCUAGGGGAUCUGAGAGGAUGACCCCCCACCCUGGUACUGCGACCCGGACCAGACUACUACGGGAGGCAGCAGUAAGGAAUAUUGGUCAAUGGAGGCAACUCUGAACCAGCCAUGCCGCGUGCAGGAAGACGGCCCUAUGGGUUGUAAACUGCUUUUAUACGGGAAUAAACCUCUCUACGUGUAGGGAGUUGAAUGUACUGUAAGAAUAAGGAUCGGCUAACUCCGUGCCAGCCGCCGCGGUAA